rnacentral:lncRNA from 1 species
GAAUGCAUAGAAAGUACCAAUCUUGUAUAUAGAGACAGAGACAUAUAAUACAAUAUCUCUGAUAGAGAUCAUUCAAAAGAUAAAAACAAACUCGAAAAUGAUUAAAAGGAAAUGUGGGGCAAAUGGAUAACAGUCUGUGCGUGACCUGUUGCAAUGCAAGUUUUCUGAUCGUAUCUAAUAUACUCAUUUCCCAGUGACAGUCCAUAAUUCUAGCCUUUCAUACCGGUUGUCCUAUCUGCUGAACAUACAUUUUGUAUUUAUUGUUAAUUUGUUCUGGUCCUGAAUAUACAUGAAAUGUUUGCCACUUGACAUAAAGCAUAUCAGAAACUAGCUAUCAACAUAGGAUUAGGGCAAGCACUCCAUCAUACUUCAAACUACAAAUCCACCCAAGAAUUGUGUAUAAAUUUAACAGAUAAGACAUGCAUGUAGUAUUCAAUUUGUUGAGAUUCCCGACAUAUUAUCUUGUGGCUGCGGAAAAGCCAGUACCAUGACUUUUUCUCCAAUAGUGUAAAAAUAAAUGGUAGAACUGAAACGUACAAUAAAAAAAAUCAGAAAAGGCUCUCAAUUAAGUGGCAAUUGUAUCCCAAAAGAUGAAGUUCUGUAUUAACCAUCAUUAGAAAAUUCAAAAUAAAACAUUGGAAAGCUAAGGAUGCAAACAUACUUGAUGCAUUCCGAUCGCACAUUCUAAUUUUUAUAAAUAUGUUGUUUACCGAGCCCGGAAAUUUAGAUACGACCCGGGUAAACUUGAAGAUCUUUUUAAUAAUCUUAUUCUUAAAGGCUACCCAUUAAACAACGUAU